rnacentral:tRNA from 1 species
GCAGUCGUAGUCUAGUGGGAGGACAUGAGCCCUCCAAGCUCGUGACCCGGGUUCAAAUCCCGGCGACUGCA